GAUAGAAACAUUUAAAUAUAUAAAGGGAAUCAACACAGUAAAGGAGGAGACUAUAUUUAAAAGAAGAAAAACUACCACAACAAGAGGACAUAGUCUUAAAUUAGAGGGACAAAGGUUAAAAAUAAUAUCAGGAAGUAUUACUUUACUGAGAGGGUAGUGGAUGCAUGGAAUAGCCUUCCAGCUGAAGUGGUAGAGGUUAACACAGUAAAG